rnacentral:rRNA from 1 species
AUGAACGCUGGCGGCGUGCCUAAUCCAUGCAAGUCGAGCGAACAGAUAAGGAGCUUGCUCCUUUGACGUUAGCGGCGGACGGGUGAGUAACACGUGGGUAACCUACCUAUAAGACUGGAAUAACUCCGGGAAACCGGGGCUAAUGCCGGAUAACAUUUAGAACCGCAUGGUUCUAAAGUGAAAGAUGGUUUUGCUAUCACUUAUAGAUGGACCCGCGCCGUAUUAGCUAGUUGGUAAGGUAACGGCUUACCAAGGCAACGAUACGUAGCCGACCUGAGGGGGUGAUCGGCCACACUGGAACUGAGACACGGUCCAGACUCCUACGGGAGGCAGCAGUAGGGAAUCUUCCGCAAUGGGCGAAAGCCUGACGGAGCAACGCCGCGUGAGUGAUGAAGGUCUUCGGAUCGUAAAACUCUGUUAUUAGGGAAGAACAAAUGUGUAAGUAACUGUGCACGUCUUGACGGUACCUAAUCAGAAAGCCACGGCUAACUACGUG